rnacentral:rRNA from 1 species
UACGUAGGGUGCGAGCGUUGUCCGGAAUUAUUGGGCGUAAAGAGCUCGUAGGCGGUGUGUCACGUCGGCCGUGAAAACCUGCAGCUUAACUGCGGGCGUGCGGGCGAUACGGGCAGACUGGAGUACUGCAGGGGAGACUGGAAUUCCUGGUGUAGCGGUGGAAUGCGCAGAUAUCAGGAGGAACACCGGUGGCGAAGGCGGGUCUCUGGGCAGUAACUGACGCUGAGAAGCGAAAGCGUGGGGAGCGAACAGG